CCUACGGGAGGCAGCAGUGAGGAAUAUUGGUCAAUGGACGAGAGUCUGAACCAGCCAAGUAGCGUGAAGGAUGACUGCCCUCUGGGUUGUAAACUUCUUUUAUAUGGGAAUAAAACAGGGUAUGCAUACCCUCUUGUAUGUACCAUAUGAAUAAGGAUCGGCUAACUCCGUGCCAGCAGCCGCGGUAAUACGGAGGAUCCGAGCGUUAUCCGGAUUUAUUGGGUUUAAAGGGAGCGUAGGGGGAUUGUUAAGUCAGUUGUGAAAGUUUGCGGCUCAACCGUAAAAUUGCAGUUGAAACUGGCAGUCUUGAGUACAGUAGAGGUGGGCGGAAUUCGUGGUGUAGCGGUGAAAUGCUUAGAUAUCACGAAGAACUCCGAUGGCGAAGGCAGCUUACUGGACUGCAACUGACACUGAUGCUCGAAAGUGUUGGUAUCAAACAGGAUUAGAUACCCCUGUAGUC
rnacentral:rRNA from 1 species